rnacentral:sRNA from 19 species
CUUAUUGACACGCACCUUAAAUGGUGUGUGCUAAAAAAACAAGUUGAUUGAUUAGCCUAAAAGGCUAGUAUUUGAAUACUAGCCCUACGUUAUUUUAGAAUACAUGAAAAUUAAGCAAAGCUUAAUUAAAUAUAGUUACCCUAGAAUACUCCGCUAGUUCUAGGCUCUAAG